rnacentral:lncRNA from 1 species
AUUUAAAAGUGAAAUCUGUGCCCCUACAUUAAUUAUAUUUAUAUUUUGUGACUUGGAAAGUGAAAAUACUCUUGAGGAUUCAAUUUGGCCAUCUGAAAGAGUAUUCUUCAAUUUUAUUUGUUUAAUAUUUUACUUGUGUGAAAAAGAGGAAACAAAUGCUGACAAUAGCCUUUCCCAGGUAGGUGCUGCCACUGGAACAUUGGCACGAUAGCUUUGAAAUUAACAUUUCAACCAUGUCUUAGUCAAUUAAAUUCCUUCAAAAUACAAUUUCCAGAAAACUGAUGUUACAACUUUAAAAUAGUCUUAAAGCACUAUGAUUUACCAAAUGUGGAAGACUUAUGCCAAAAAAGGAGAGACUCCAUUUACAAGUUUCAGACAACUAGGUUUAGAAUACACAGAAUACUAACUGUGGACAUUACAAAGACAUCACUAUGAUGUGUGCUUUGGGCUGAAGCCCAUUAAUCAGCAGAAAUGCUGAGUCCUUUCCUUAGCACUGUGUAACUUACAAUUAUCAUGCUUGCAAAACUGCAAUUGAGGAUGGGGGUGGGCAGAUAUAAGAAGAAAAUGUUUCUUUUACUGGUGAAGCUAACCAGUGCAGAGCACUCACUUGGCUUGAAACUACCGCACCCUAACUGGCUGCUCCCAACAUCCCCCUUUCUCAUGAGGGGUUCCUCCCAGUCAGCCAGACCCAGAAUCUCAAAAGUCAUCUUUGACCUUGGCCUCUCCAUCACGUGAUAGCCACAUCAAGUCAAUACCCAGACUGAUUAUCUCUUCACAGUCACAGUCAGUCUCUCUCUUUUUAUUUAUUUUAUUUUAGACAGGUUCUGGCUCUGUCACACAGGCUGGAGUGCAGUGGCACAAUCUCAGCUCACUACAACCUCCACCCCCAAGGCUCAAGCCAUCCUCCCACCUCAG